rnacentral:rRNA from 1 species
UACGUAGGUGGCAAGCGUUGUCCGGAUUUACUGGGCGUAAAGGGAGCGUAGGCGGAUACUUAAGUGGGAUGUGAAAUACCUGGGCUUAACUUGGGUGCUGCAUUCCAAACUGGGUGUCUAGAGUGUUGGAGAGGAAAGUGGAAUUCCUAGUGUAGCGGUGAAAUGCGUAGAGAUUAGGAAGAACACCAGUGGCGAAGGCGACUUUCUGGACAAUAACUGACGCUGAGGCUCGAAAGCGUGGGGAGCAAACAGGAUUAGAUACCCUGGUAGUCCACGCCGUAAACGAUGGGUACUAGGUGUAGGAGGUAUCGACUCCUCCUUGCCGCCGUUAACACAAUAAGUACCCCGCCUGGGGAGUACGGUCGCAAGAUUAAA